rnacentral:rRNA from 1 species
CCUACGGGUGGCAGCAGUUGGGAAUAUUGGGCAAUGGGCGCAAGCCUGACCCAGCAACGCCGCGUGAAGGAAGAAGGCUUUCGGGUUGUAAACUUCUUUUCUCAGGGACGAAGGAAGUGACGGUACCUGAUGAAUAAGCCACGGCUAACUACGUGCCAGCAGCCGCGGUAAUACGUAGGUGGCAAGCGUGAUCCGGAUUUAUUGGGUGUAAAGGUCGGGUAGGCGGGAGCGCAAGUCAGAUGUGAAAACUCAGGGCUCAACCCUGGGCCUGCAUUUGAAACUGGGUUUCUUGAGUGCUGGAGAGGCCAUCGGAAUUCCGUGUGUAGCGGUGAAAUGCGUAGAUAUACGGAGGAACACCAGUGGCGAAGGCGGAUGGCUGGACAGUAACUGACGCUGAGGCGCGAAAGCGUGGGGAGCAAACAGGAUUAGAUACCCGGGUAGUC